rnacentral:rRNA from 1 species
UGGGGAAUAUUGCACAAUGGGCGAAAGCCUGAUGCAGCGACGCCGCGUGAACGAUGAAGUAUUUCGGUAUGUAAAGUUCUAUCAGCAGGGAAGAAAAAAUGACGGUACCUGACUAAGAAGCACCGGCUAAAUACGUGCCAGCAGCCGCGGUAAUACGUAUGGUGCAAGCGUUAUCCGGAUUUACUGGGUGUAAAGGGAGCGUAGGCGGUUUUAUAAGUCUGAUGUGAAAGCCCGGGGCUCAACCCCGGGACUGCAUUGGAAACUGUAGAACUAGAGUGUCGGAGGGGUAAGUGGAAUUCCUAGUGUAGCGGUGAAAUGCGUAGAUAUUAGGAGGAACACCAGUGGCGAAGGCGGCUUACUGGACGAUUACUGACGCUGAGGCUCGAAAGCGUGGGGAGCAAACAGG